UUUGGGGGGUUUUCCCUCCAUUUUUGCUACAAAGUCAGAUGUUGCAUCUUUGGUGAAAUAGUAUUUUCUUGGAACUAUAAGCUACGAAACUAGUAAACUUGGUAUUUGGACUUUGCUGACAUUCAGAGAAUCUUUAAACUUUUAGAGAGUUUAGAGUCAGAGGCACGUUUUUUUAAGAAAAUCCAUUUUUAAAAGCAGUAGCGUUUUGGAGAGGCAAAAUAUAUGAGCACUUGGGUAGCUCCAAAAGUCAAGGUAAAUACAAGGGAAAUGGAAAAUCCUGAAACUAACUGUUAACCUUUAAUCCAAAUGAUUAUUGGUAAUUUUAAUUGGGGAUGCUCAGCUUCAAAAAGCAAAUGACAUCUGCUUUACCUCAUGCAUGCAGAAGAGGAAGGGAAGAGAGAAAUAUGUAUAGUGAUGAAUGCAAGUCACCUUUGUAGAAAGCUUCUUGAGGUCACUGGGGGCACCAUACUUGGGGUGAACUGACCCUUUUUUCUAUCUGGAAAGCUUUUAAUGAAAGAGGAAAAGGACCUGAUGAUUUUUUACUGCAAAGGUUAAUAACAUAAAAUACCAAUGAGCAUUUUAUGUAAGAAGCAAAGCCUGCAGAUCUUGUUACCCGGGCUUCCUGAUGGUGCACUCACAUCCGACGAGAGAAGUGGAAAAUACUUUUGACACAUUUAAAGGGUUAUAGUAGACAGCAUUCACAUUUCUGAUUCCAUUUGUGGUGCACUUUUCUUGUUAAUAGAAGUACAAAACACCGCAGAGGUCACCCAGGCUGUCUCCCAGCCCCGGGGAGCUUGUUGACCCACCAGACGCUGACAGAUGAGAGACACACGUCUGACUGCAAUGAACAGCAAGACUUAUGGUACGUAGCGGUCUGAAGGGGAUGUAUGGAGCUUGUCUUGAGAAAAUAUCACUGCUCUGGGCCUUUUCCUGCUCCCAUUCCAGUUGCUGAAUAUUUUGCUGUUGUCCUUGUGUUUACUAGGCAAAUAUCACUCCUAUUGGGCAAAUAUGUUGGUAAAGUUUGUUGGAAUAAAUGUUGAGCUCUGGGACGCUGCAGUUUAUCAAGCUGCUUGCUUAAGAGGUUUUACUCUCCACUAAUGCAGGUGGAUACACAAAAGUGGUGUAAGUCAUGAGCCAAAUUUCUUCCUCUUCCAUUAAAAGAAAUGUUCUUGCACUAAAUGUUUA
rnacentral:lncRNA from 1 species